rnacentral:snRNA from 1 species
AUACUGAUCUGGCAGGGAAGACACCAUGAUCAGGAAGGUGGUUUUCCCAGGGCGAGACUCAUCCAUUCCACUGAAAGUGUUAGGACCUUAUGCCACAGCUGUGCUGCCCAUUGGGCACAGGUGCCCUC